rnacentral:rRNA from 1 species
CCCUUAGAUGUUCUGGGCCGCACGCGCGCUACACUGUUCGACGCAGCGAGUCUUAACCUUGACCGAAAGGUUCGGGUAAUCUUCAGCAAAGUCGAACGUGAUGGGGAUCGAUCAUUGCAAUUAUUGAUCGUGAACGAGGAAUUCCUAGUAAGUGCAAGUCAUCAGCUUGCGCUGAUUACGUCCCUGCCCUUUGUACACACCGCCCGUCGCUACUACCGAUUGAAUGGUUUAGUGAGAUCUCUGGAUUGACGCUGGCUAGGGGGCGACCCUUGGCCAGACUGUUGAGAAACUGCUCAAACUUGAUCAUUUAGAGGAAGUAAAAGUCGUAACA